UCCUCCUUCACUUCCUGCUUUCCCUUUCCAUUCUUUUGACAGUGCUGUCUUUGAUGCUGCAACACCACAUGGUUUCACAUGCCUCGGUUUCCCCAGAAGAGAAAGACAGACUGCUGUGAGAGACAGACACAGGAAGAGAGAGAAAGGAGGACACUGGAAGGGGAGAAGCAGAGACAAUGCCAAACUCAGUCUCACUAUAAACCAAAUCAGGCACUUGAUUGACAGCUUAUAACGACGCUCGUUUUGAGAUGACAGCUUGAAGAGGAG
rnacentral:lncRNA from 1 species